CACGUAGGGGGCAAGCGUUGUUCGGAAUUAUUGGGCGUAAAGGGCAUGUAGGCGGUUUGGUAAGCCUGGUGUGAAAUCCUGCAGCUUAACUGUAGAAUUGCAUUGGGUACUGCCAGACUUGAAUCACAGAGGGGAAACUAGAAUUCCAGGUGUAGGGGUGGAAUCUGUAGAUAUCUGGAAGAAUACCGGUGGCGAAGGCGGGUUUCUAGCUGAUGAUUGACGCUGAGGUGCGAAAGUGCGGGGAGCAAAC
rnacentral:rRNA from 1 species